CCUACGGGAGGCAGCAGUAGGGAAUCUUCCACAAUGGGCGAAAGCCUGAUGGAGCAACGCCGCGUGGGUGAAGAAGGUCUUCGGAUCGUAAAACCCUGUUGUUAGAGAAGAAAGUGCGUGAGAGUAACUGUUCACGUUUCGACGGUAUCUAACCAGAACGCCACGGCUAAAUACGUCCCAGCAGCCGCGGUAAUACGUAGGUGGCAAGCGUUAUCCGGAUUUAUUGGGCGUAAAGGGAACGCAGGCGGUCUUUUAAGUCUGAUGUGAAAGCCUUCGGCUUAACCGGAGUAGUGCAUUGGAAACUGGGAGACUUGAGUGCAGAAGAGGAGAGUGGAACUCCAUGUGUAGCGGUGAAAUGCGUAGAUAUAUGGAAGAACACCAGUGGCGAAAGCGGCUCUCUGGUCUGUAACUGACGCUGAGGUUCGAAAGCGUGGGUAGCAAACAGGAUUGGAUACCCCAGUAGUC
rnacentral:rRNA from 1 species